rnacentral:rRNA from 1 species
UACAGAGGGUGCGAGCGUUGUCCGGAAUCACUGGGCGUAAAGGGCGCGUAGGUGGCGCGACAAGUCAGUGGUGAAAGUUCGACGCUCAACGUCGAAUCGGCCACUGAUACUGUUGGGCUUGAGCACUGUAGAGGCUAAUGGAAUUCCGGGUGUAGCGGUGGAAUGCGUAGAGAUCCGGAAGAACACCGGUGGCGAAGGCGGUUAGCCGGGCAGUUGCUGACACUGAGGCGCGACAGCGUGGGGAGCAAACAGG